GACGUAGGAGGCGAGCGUUGUCCGGAAUCAUUGGACGUAAAGCGCGCGUAGGUGGCCUCAUAAGUCCGCUGUGAAAGUCAAAGGCUCAACCUUUGAAAGCCGGUGGAUACUGUGAGGCUAGAGUACGGAAGAGGCGAGUGGAAUUCCUGGUGUAGCGGUGGAAUGCGCAGAUAUCAGGAGGAACACCAAUAGCGAAGGCAGCUCGCUGGGACGUUACUGACACUGAGGCGCGAAAGCGUGGGGAGCGAACAGG
rnacentral:rRNA from 1 species